ACCCUCGUACGCGGAAGUUCAUGAGGGAGGGACCCUCGUACGCGGAAGUUCAUGAGGGCGGGACCCUCGUACGCGGAAGGUCAUGAGGGCGGGACCCUCGUACGCGGAAGUUCAUGCGGGCGGGACCCUCGUACGUGGAAGGUCAUGAGGGCGGAACCCUGGUAUAUGAAAUUCGUUCUCUUAUUAAAGAGACAAAGAACGCCCUUGUUUUUUCCACCACGUGAUGGCGCAGACAGAAGACAACCAGCAUCUAUGAACCAGGAAGCCCCCACCAGGCACUGAAUGUGACCCUGCGUGGAUCUUAGACUUGCAGACUCCAGAACUGUCCAAAUUUUGGUCUGGAGCCAGAGACAAUAUAGGAUGAAGUCUGAUUUGUUCCAAAACCCACAGAAAUCUCUAAAAUGGAAGAAUUUUCUUAGAACCAAAAGGCAUGGAAUUGAUGACAUGAAACUGAUCCCUAGAUCACCUUAAGCGUGAGUUAACCUGAUGGGAUGCAUCAAAUUACACAAGCUGUUGGACAACGCAAGGAGCGGCGCAGGAAUACGCUGCGGGCUCUGCCCUCCACACGGAGAGGACGGGGUCUUCCCCUUCUAGGGUGAGCGGCCCAGAACAGAUGAGAUGAGCUGCGAGAGGCCAGGGCCUUUGGGGAGACCAAUUUGGGAGGUAGCCAUUUAGAGUGGGUCUCCGUCACAACUCCAAAUCUGUGCAGUUAUUCAGACAAGCCAAUCAGCACUGGAUAUUCGAUAGGCAAACUCAAUAAUCAUUUAUAAUCCUGACAGGUGAAGGGGCUCCAAGGCAAACCUUAAUAUACACUGUAGGUUUGAAAAUAAGAGAAAACAAAUAAAGAAAUCUCUAUAUUCCUGAGAAAAUGUCUUUUCUUUCUCUAGUCCUACAAUCUUCUAGUCAGGGUUUUUUUCUUCUUUUUUUAUCAUUCCCGUCCUCACAGGAGACACAAAACCAUUUUAAAUCUAUUUUUCUAAGUAGAUCACUGCCCAGCCCUCAUCCAAGUUCUUGUCUGUAACUCAUGUGGAUGUUUAGAAGUUAUUAUUCAAUAAAGGCAAAGGGAAAGGGAAAGUAGUUUCUACUUUAGAACUAUUUAGACUAUGUCAGUAAAUUCAAUUUUGAGAACUAAACUAGAAGUUUCAGUAUUUAUCAUAUCUGUCCUAUAAAGUAACUUGAAAUUAUUGGAAGAAAGAUUAUCCAGCAGCCCAGUCUUCUUGGUGAAAUAGAACUUUGCUUACUGCAUCGCUCAUGGUACAUAUGCAAUUCAUCUGUAGAAGAAAUUCAGGAAAAGGACAUAUUUCCAGUUGAAACUGGAAUUAAAAUUAAUUGCAACAGCAGAAGUAUUCUCUAUGUCUCCCUUCCUCUUUCUUUUCUCUCUCUUUCCCUUUUUUCUCUCUCAUUAUAAUUCUAGUUUUACUUAAGAGAGUCAGUAAUAAUAGAUCUUAGCUUUCAUAAAGUGGGUACUGUAUUAUACACAUAACAUUCUUAAUUACCAGUGGUUAUUCAUCGUAUCCCUAUGUGCUAGGUACAUUGGGAGACAGUAAAACGAUAAAAUUUGGUCUGUAUUUUAAAGCAGCAUUUAUUUCUAUUAGGUUCACACAUGUAUGAGACAAUAAUGAAAUAAUACAAAAAAUUAGGGAUUAUGUUUUAUAAAGGAAUAGCCCAAAAUGAAUUCAUAGAAAAGGAGCAUUUAUGUAUUCAGUCAACAAAUAUUGAUUGAUCACUUACUGUAUACCAGACUCUCCACCAUGUGCCAGAGAUAGACCUGAGAAAGCGCUCGUGUCCUCCAGGAACUUCACUCACCUGGAAGAGACAAGCUGUAUCGUGAGCUGGGCAACAUAGUGUUCAUUGUAACUUUUCUUUUUCAAAUAAAUUUCUUUGAAGAAGGAUUCUUGUCAAGAUGAAAUCAAGAGAGACAUGACUUUUGGCAGCACCGUCCUGUGGGACAUGUGGCAAACAAAUGACAUGAGCUAAUGGGACAAGAAGGCAACUUCAGCUAGAGAGAUGGAAAAAGGUCAGGUGUCCUCCAAAUGACCUCUCUUCAUGACCACCUCACUCAACAUCCAGACACCAAAUCUUCAGGAGAGUGACUGAGCACACUACAUGCCGAAGAGCAGGAGGCUGGAGGAGGCUGGACAUCACUGUCUUUUAUUAUCACAAACAGAACAGUAACACUCUGCAGAGCUACGGAAACUUGGUAGAAAAAAUAAUGGAUGAGUCAUGUGGUGGGAAUGUUCAGAAAUGUGGAGAAGGCUUUGGCUGCCCCUGCAAGGAAUUAAAGCUUUACUUAAGAUUA